GGAUAAGGUGUAUGUAGUGGUGCUCUGUCUGUGCGGAUAAGGUGUAUGUAGUGGUGCUGUCUGUGUGGAUAAGGUGUAUGUAGUGGUGCUCUGUCUGUGCGGAUAAGGUGUAUGUAGUGGAGCUGUGUGUGCGGAUAAGGUGUAUGUAGUGGAGCUGUCUGUGUGGAUAAGGUGUAUGUAGUGGAGCUGUCUGUG